UUGGGGUUUGGGUUUGAGGUGCAAGGUUUGGGAUGGUCCUGGAGUAUAUGUGAUUCAGGAUUUGGGAAGUCCCAGGGUUUCUGGGCUCUCAGCAUUCCCUGACCCCAGUCCCAAGCCCACAGAGUGCCUGGGGGUGUACCCUGGAGACCCCCAGCUGCUGGUGCUGGAUUGCACUGACAGCAAUUUCACCCUCCAAUUCCACAGGUAAAUCCCACAAGUCCCACCCAGGGAAGUUUCCCAUCCCUAAAAUCCAAGUGUUGGAUUUGCGACCCCUUUUUCCGAAUUCCUGUGUGGGAUUAUGGGAUGAAAUUUUCCCUUUCCCAGGGUAAUUUUUGGGGAUUUUGUGGCCAAGUUUUCCCUUUCCUGAUGUUUUCUGGGGGAUUUUGGUGCAGAAUUUUUCCUUUUCUAGAAUGUUUUUUUUUUUUUUUUGUUAUUUUGGGAACUCCUGAGGUUUUUGGGGAUUUCAGAUGGAAUUUUCCAUUAGCAUUGGAUUUUUUGAGAUUUUGGGGUGGAAAUUUUCCUUUUUUUUUUUUAGGAUUUUGGGGUGGAAUUUUAAUUUCUGGGGGAUUUUUGGGGUCAAAUUUUUCCUUUUCCAGGUUUUUUUUUGAACUUGGGGAACUCACAGGGUUUUUUGGGGAUUUAUGGGCAGAUUUGUUCUCUUUUUUGGGGAUUUUUUGCGGCGGAGUUUUCCCUUUUGCAUUGGUUUCUUUGGGAUUUUGAGGUGGAUUUUUUCCUAUUUUAUUUUUUAGUGAUUUUGAGGCCUCUUGUAGUGUUUUUUGUCCCCUCAGGCUGAUCAGUGUCAUCAUGGAGUUCCAGCUCAAGGCCAUCAACAUCCAAACGCUACUAAAACAGAAAAUCCCCGACUGCUACACCUUCAGUGAUAUUGCCACCCACCCUGAGCUCUGGUGCCAUCGGCAUCCCCUGGCAGCCGGUCCAGCUCUGAAUCUCUUGGAAGAGGAAAUCCACAGUCCCAGGCCGGGGACUCAAGGGUAUCCAGGAUGAGAAGAGGUGACCGAAGCAUUCCCCAGGUGAUCUUGAUGAUGAAUGUCACCUUAGAAGGUCUGGGCACAGAGAAGAAUGAUCCCUUUCAGGGUUGACCCUAUUUGGACAACCUGCUUCUCACCUCCAACCUCACCAUGUCAGACAUUGCCCACCUGGGACUGACAUCCUAAAACAUAAAAAAA